rnacentral:rRNA from 1 species
UACGUAGGGGGCAAGCGUUGUCCGGAUUUAUUGGGCGUAAAGAGCGUGUAGGCGGCCAGGUAGGUCAGCUGUGAAAACUCGAGGCUCAACCUCGAGACGUCGGUUGAAACCACCUGGCUAGAGUCCGGAAGAGGAGAGCGGAAUUCCUGGUGUAGCGGUGAAAUGCGCAGAUAUCAGGAAGAACACCCGUGGCUAAGGCGGCUCUCUAGUACGGUACUGACGCUGAGACGCGAAAGCGUGGGGAGCGAACAGG